rnacentral:rRNA from 1 species
CAGCAGCCACGGGAAUACAGAGGGUGCGAGCGUUAAUCGGAUUUACUGGGCGUAAAGCGUGCGUAGGCGGCUUUUUAAGUCGGAUGUGAAAUCCCUGAGCUUAACUUAGGAAUUGCAUUCGAUACUGGGAAGCUAGAGUAUGGGAGAGGAUGGUAGAAUUCCAGGUGUAGCGGUGAAAUGCGUAGAGAUCUGGAGGAAUACCGAUGGCGAAGGCAGCCAUCUGGCCUAAUACUGACGCUGAGGCGCGAAAGCGUGGGGAGCAAACAGGAUUAGAUACCCGUGUAGUCCCUGUCUCUUAUAC